ACCUUCUGCGCAGGCGCGGCGCGAUGCCGGGGAAGCAUGUCUCGAGAGUCCGGGCUUUAUAUAGGCGAAUCUUGCUGCUACAUCGGGCUCUGCCCCCGGACCUCAAAGCCCUGGGUGACCAGUACGUGAAGGACGAAUUUAGGAGACAUAAGACUGUUGGUCCUGGCGAGGCCCAGCGAUUCUUGAAGGAAUGGGAGAAUGAAGGGGGAGAAAGAGUAUUGCAUGAUGCUGAAGAGUCUUGCAGGAUCUCCUCCCAUCUUGAAAAUAUCAGGAGGUGAAAGGAGUUGGGCAUUUCUAGAGUGCAUCUAGGUAUUUUAAAGAAACUGCUCUGACGUACGCAGCAGUGCUGUGGCAACAAGCUGAGGACAGCAGACAAAGCUCAACUGGAAAAGCGUGUUUUGGCACCUCUCUCCCAGAAGAAAAACUCAAUGACUUUCGUGAUGAGCAAAUUGGACAGUUGCAAGAGCUGAUGCAAGAGGCUACUAAACCCAAUAGGCAGUUUAGUAUCACUGAGUCUACAAAACCACAGUUGUGAUACAUGAUCUUAACAAAGUGGCUACAUUUAUAACCUGUUACCUCAUCUACCAUUGACUCUCUAAAAUAUAUUCUUUCAGCUACAGAAUAGUCUCUUAUUUUUGGACAGUAUGAACAAUGCAUGAUCAAAAUCAUAAAUGACGCACUUGUCAUCAUUGCAAUGACAUAUUUAUUUGCUGUGUGGAAUGUAGUUUUAUGGAAUUUAAUUUCUGGACUAAAGAAAGGUGUUAAAAAAGAUAUACUUUGGGAUUAUGCUGAAAUUUUUUUGUAUAUGAAUUUGUUUUAAAUUCUAUCCCCAUCAAGUGUUAGCCUCCUGAUUUGUCUCUAGCUUCAUCAGUUAAAUAAACAUAUCAUAAUAAUGGAAGAUGUAGAAUUCCAAUAAGUUUGCUAUUAGACAUAUUGUGAUUCUGAAAGUCCCACCAUUUCUCCUUUAGUAGUACACACCUGGCUAUCACUCAGAAUUUCAUCUAUGAGUCACGUUGAAAGUUUUAAGAAAAGCCUUAAGAUUCAAUUGUUAAGAAUUUCAGUUAUUGUCUAAAGGUUGGGGAGAUGAAAAAUACUAAGUUGGCUCAUACAUUUAAAAAUAAAUUAUCUAUCAAAACCUG